GGUUAAGCGACUAAGCGUACACGGUGGAUGCCCUGGCAGUCAGAGGCGAUGAAGGACGUGCUAAUCUGCGAUAAGCGUCGGUGAGGUGAUAUGAACCGUUAUAACCGGCGAUUUCCGAAUGGGGAAACCCAGUGUGUUUCGACACACUAUCAUUAACUGAAUCCAUAGGUUAAUGAGGCGAACCGGGGGAACUGAAACAUCUAAGUACCCCGAGGAAAAGAAAUCAACCGAGAUUCCCCCAGUAGCGGCGAGCGAACGGGGAGGAGCCCAGAGCCUGAAUCAGUGUGUGUGUUAGUGGAAGCGUCUGGAAAGGCGUGCGAUACAGGGUGACAGCCCCGUACACAAAAAUGCACAUAUUGUGAGCUCGAUGAGUAGGGCGGGACACGUGGUAUCCUGUCUGAAUAUGGGGGGACCAUCCUCCAAGGCUAAAUACUCCUGACUGACCGAUAGUGAACCAGUACCGUGAGGGAAAGGCGAAAAGAACCCCGGCGAGGGGAGUGAAAAAGAACCUGAAACCGUGUACGUACAAGCAGUGGGAGCCUCUUUAUGGGGUGACUGCGUACCUUUUGUAUAAUGGGUCAGCGACUUAUAUUCUGUAGCAAGGUUAACCGAAUAGGGGAGCCGAAGGGAAACCGAGUCUUAACUGGGCGUUAAGUUGCAGGGUAUAGACCCGAAACCCGGUGAUCUAGCCAUGGGCAGGUUGAAGGUUGGGUAACACUAACUGGAGGACCGAACCGACUAAUGUUGAAAAAUUAGCGGAUGACUUGUGGCUGGGGGUGAAAGGCCAAUCAAACCGGGAGAUAGCUGGUUCUCCCCGAAAGCUAUUUAGGUAGCGCCUCGUGAAUUCAUCUCCGGGGGUAGAGCACUGUUUCGGCAAGGGGGUCAUCCCGACUUACCAACCCGAUGCAAACUGCGAAUACCGGAGAAUGUUAUCACGGGAGACACACGGCGGGUGCUAACGUCCGUCGUGAAGAGGGAAACAACCCAGACCGCCAGCUAAGGUCCCAAAGUCAUGGUUAAGUGGGAAACGAUGUGGGAAGGCCCAGACAGCCAGGAUGUUGGCUUAGAAGCAGCCAUCAUUUAAAGAAAGCGUAAUAGCUCACUGGUCGAGUCGGCCUGCGCGGAAGAUGUAACGGGGCUAAACCAUGCACCGAAGCUGCGGCAGCGACACUAUGUGUUGUUGGGUAGGGGAGCGUUCUGUAAGCCUGUGAAGGUGGCCUGUGAGGGUUGCUGGAGGUAUCAGAAGUGCGAAUGCUGACAUAAGUAACGAUAAAGCGGGUGAAAAGCCCGCUCGCCGGAAGACCAAGGGUUCCUGUCCAACGUUAAUCGGGGCAGGGUGAGUCGACCCCUAAGGCGAGGCCGAAAGGCGUAGUCGAUGGGAAACAGGUUAAUAUUCCUGUACUUGGUGUUACUGCGAAGGGGGGACGGAGAAGGCUAUGUUGGCCGGGCGACGGUUGUCCCGGUUUAAGCGUGUAGGCUGGUUUUCCAGGCAAAUCCGGAAAACCAAGGCUGAGGCGUGAUGACGAGGCACUACGGUGCUGAAGCGACAAAUGCCCUGCUUCCAGGAAAAGCCUCUAAGCAUCAGGUAACAUCAAAUCGUACCCCAAACCGACACAGGUGGUCAGGUAGAGAAUACCAAGGCGCUUGAGAGAACUCGGGUGAAGGAACUAGGCAAAAUGGUGCCGUAACUUCGGGAGAAGGCACGCUGAUAUGUAGGUGAAGCGACUUGCUCGUGGAGCUGAAAUCAGUCGAAGAUACCAGCUGGCUGCAACUGUUUAUUAAAAACACAGCACUGUGCAAACACGAAAGUGGACGUAUACGGUGUGACGCCUGCCCGGUGCCGGAAGGUUAAUUGAUGGGGUUAGCGGUAACGCGAAGCUCUUGAUCGAAGCCCCGGUAAACGGCGGCCGUAACUAUAACGGUCCUAAGGUAGCGAAAUUCCUUGUCGGGUAAGUUCCGACCUGCACGAAUGGCGUAAUGAUGGCCAGGCUGUCUCCACCCGAGACUCAGUGAAAUUGAACUCGCUGUGAAGAUGCAGUGUACCCGCGGCAAGACGGAAAGACCCCGUGAACCUUUACUAUAGCUUGACACUGAACAUUGAGCCUUGAUGUGUAGGAUAGGUGGGAGGCUUUGAAGUGUGGACGCCAGUCUGCAUGGAGCCGACCUUGAAAUACCACCCUUUAAUGUUUGAUGUUCUAACGUUGGCCCGUAAUCCGGGUUGCGGACAGUGUCUGGUGGGUAGUUUGACUGGGGCGGUCUCCUCCUAAAGAGUAACGGAGGAGCACGAAGGUUGGCUAAUCCUGGUCGGACAUCAGGAGGUUAGUGCAAUGGCAUAAGCCAGCUUGACUGCGAGCGUGACGGCGCGAGCAGGUGCGAAAGCAGGUCAUAGUGAUCCGGUGGUUCUGAAUGGAAGGGCCAUCGCUCAACGGAUAAAAGGUACUCCGGGGAUAACAGGCUGAUACCGCCCAAGAGUUCAUAUCGACGGCGGUGUUUGGCACCUCGAUGUCGGCUCAUCACAUCCUGGGGCUGAAGUAGGUCCCAAGGGUAUGGCUGUUCGCCAUUUAAAGUGGUACGCGAGCUGGGUUUAGAACGUCGUGAGACAGUUCGGUCCCUAUCUGCCGUGGGCGCUGGAGAACUGAGGGGGGCUGCUCCUAGUACGAGAGGACCGGAGUGGACGCAUCACUGGUGUUCGGGUUGUCAUGCCAAUGGCACUGCCCGGUAGCUAAAUGCGGAAGAGAUAAGUGCUGAAAGCAUCUAAGCACGAAACUUGCCCCGAGAUGAGUUCUCCCUGACUCCUUGAGAGUCCUGAAGGAACGUUGAAGACGACGACGUUGAUAGGCCGGGUGUGUAAGCGCAGCGAUGCGUUGAGCUAACCGGUACUAAUGAACCGUGAGGCUUAACCUUAC
rnacentral:rRNA from 1 species